GGCCGCCUGGUGUAGUUGGUUAUCACGCAUGCUUCACACUGCUGACAUAAUCAGUCACGUGACCGCAUGAGGUCUUCAGUUCGAUCCUGGAGGUGGUCA